rnacentral:misc_RNA from 1 species
CCGAGUGUAGGGCCCUCUGGGUCCAACCUCCCACCCUUGUCUAUCGUACCUUGUUGCUUCGGCGGGCCCGCCAUUCGUGGCCGCCGGGGGGCAUCUGCCCCCGGGCCCGCGCCCGCCGGAGACAAAUACGAACACUGUCUGAAGUUGCAGUCUGAGUUGAUUUAUUCAAUCAUUA